rnacentral:lncRNA from 1 species
CCGGCCAAACCAAGAGCAAAGAAGAACAAAGGGAGAAAGGAAAAACAAAAACCCUAGGUGGAGAAAUUCAAGGGAAAAUUGGUGAAAAUUUAAGGAAACAAGUGACAAAAGGUAAAAUUUCUUGAUUUUGACUUGUGAUCUACCUUUCCCAUGCAUUUCUCCUCAUUUUUCAAGGUUAAAUUACAUGUUCUCGUGAUGAAUUCAUGGCUGGUUUGAAUGGGUAUGGAGAGAGAAUGAUGUUAGAUUGAUUUGAUUCUAAGUUAUGUUUAUGUUUUUAGUUAGUUAAGCAUGUUUAAAAACAAAACAAUAAGAAAAGAACCCAUUUUCCCCAUGAACCUUCAAUGGUCGAACCUUAUGUGAAGUGUAGAAGUAAUGAAUUGAUUUUGUGAUCAAGUGAAUUGGUUAAAAAAUUGAUGAAAUGAUGAUUUAUGGUGAGAAAAUGGAAUGAAAAUUUUUUUAAUGAUAGUGCACCACAAUGGCCGAAAUUUUCAAGAAGAAUUGUGAGGGUUGUUAGGCUGAAUUUUAGAUUAUUGGAAUUGUAUUUAGUGAAUUGAAAUAUUAGAAAUAAAAUGGAGCAAUUUGGAGCUAAAUCGAACACAAUUGUCAUUUAAUCGGGUAAUAGGCCGAAUUAGGUCAGCACCACAUUUAAGCGGUAGUCGGAUAAGUUGCAUAUCAUAUCAUGCAUAUAAAUUGAUUUUAUAAUGGUCAAGCAUUGAUGUGGUGAAUUAUGUAUUAUACAUUGUGGAUAGAUGGUGAGUAAAUUAUACUAAUAAAAGUACAGAGAUUGUGCUUGGAAACUGAGAUUAGGAGUACAUCGACUCCUAGAACUGUGAGUAAACUUAUUAUCGUCUUAAUUAUCUAGAGUAGUUUUAUACAAUUGUGUGAUUUUAUGAAAAAUGGGUUUAAAUGGUAAAUUGCUAUGUUUUAGGAGAAAUUGUGAUUUUAUAAAAUGAUUUUAUAAAUUUUUUGAAAAAAUUGAAUACUGGUUUUGAAAAUAGAGUAAUUAGAGACUGUCUGCUUGUGUUGUAAAUUUAUGAUUUUAAAUUGAAUGGCUUAUGACAAUAUAUAAGCAUGAAUGGCUAAAUUGAUUUUUGGUGUUAAAUUAUUUGUACUGUGUAUUCAGCCUUGAGAGGCUAGGUUGCGAUAAAUUGCCAUGUCAUGCAGAAAAAGAUUUUAUAAAUCAAGUGGUAGAUAAAAUAAUCCAUAGUCACUGCAGUGGUGGGGGUUUCUGUGGACUGCCUAUGAGAGGGGCGCGGUAACUCAAUUAUAUAUUUACCUUCGGGGGGAGAUGUUGGAUGAAGUAUCUCUUGAGGUAAAGAUUUGAGUGCACUUCACGUGGACCACCGUGUGAAAGUGAGACUCAGCCAAUGCCAAGGCAUGGCUAAAAUUUUCGAUGUAAAGACAUUUAACAGCCUUGACGGACUCGGUUGGGAUAACCUUCGAUCAAGGUAUCCUUGAUAACUGAGUAUGAGAAUGAUUUUUGGUACGAGCUAAGCUUUUCAGGAAAUCAUAAGCCUAGUUGUUUAUUUGGUUGAAAUGAGUUAAAAGGUAAUAAAAUUACAGUAUGAUGACUUAUUUUAAUUCGUCUUCAUUUACUCGCCUUUAGAUAGUUUAGAUGGUGUCUGUUUACUCAUUAGAAUUUUAUAAUCUCACCACCCUCAUUUCCUCACAUUUUAGGCUCGAGGAAUUCCAUAGUUAGCUGACUUUGACAAGGACCUUCAUUUGGACUUGAAUCGGUAAAAGUUGUAGGUUUUCAGCUUCCGAUACAUUUUGGUUAGAUGUGGGCCCACGUGUCGCUGUAAAAGUAAUUUUAUGCUUUGGUUAUUUGCUUUAUAGUAUAUAUAAAUAUAAUUAACUUUCACGCUAUAAGAAUUAUUUACCGAUAGCUUUAUAAAAAAUUGUUUUACAA